UCCGAAUUGGUGUAGUGGCCAACAUUUGACGCUCUCAAGAUUGGUUUCUCCUAGUAAGAAACCAUGAAAGGUCCGUCAAGCCCGGGGUUCGAUUCCCCGAUUCGGAG